UGUUGGCAUGGGUCUGUGCAUAAAGCCACCAUUUUUGGACAUUAAGGACCCGCAUGGAGACUGGUGACUUUUCAAAUUAAAUCCUGCUUGGUGAGAUUGCAUAUGCAUUGAGGGGAUAUAUGCAGAAAUAGAGCUGAAGAAAUGUUUCAGAAUUAUCGUUAUAUGGAAACGCCACUUUCCAAUAUGUGUUUUAUGGUAUAAGACCAAAAUUACAAAACACAAUGUCAGUUAUUGUUGCACAACAAUUUUGUUGUUUCAAUGUGCUACACAAUACAGCCAGAAUGAUGCCUGAACAAGAGCUGCCGCCGUUAGAUGAAAUAAAUAUGGACCAAAUUAAUAAGAAGAGAAAUAAUAA